ACACAGAGACAGCAACACAGAGAGACAGCAACACAGAGAGACAGCCACACAGCAACAGCCACACAGAGACAGCAACACAGAGAGACAGCCACACAGCAACACAGAGACAGCCACACAGAGAGACAGCCACACAGAGACUGCAACACAGAGAGACAGCAACACAGAGACAGACAGCCACACAGAGAGACAGCCACACAGAGACAGACAGCCACACAGAGAGACAGCCACACAGAGAGACAGCCACACAGAGAGACAGCCACACAGAGAGACAGCCACACAGAGAGACAGCCACACAGAGACAGCCACACAGAGACUGCGACACAGAGACAGCCACACAGACAGCAACACAGAGACUGCAACACAGAGACAGCAACACAGACAGCAACACAGAGACUGCAACACAGAGACAGCAACACAGACACAGACAGCAACACAGAGACAGCAACACAGAGACAGCAACACAGACACAGACAGCAACACAGAGACAGCAACACGGACACAGCCACACAGAGACAGCAACACAGAGACAGCAACACAGACACAGACAGCAACACAGACACAGCAACACAGACACAGCAACACAG